UGAUGCAGCGACGCCGCGUGAGGGAUGACGGCCUUCGGGUUGUAAACCUCUUUCAGCAGGGAAGAAGCGAAAGUGACGGUACCUGCAGAAGAAGCGCCGGCUAACUACGUGCCAGCAGCCGCGGUAAUACGUAGGGCGCAAGCGUUGUCCGGAAUUAUUGGGCGUAAAGAGCUCGUAGGCGGUCUGUCACGUCGGAUGUGAAAGCCCGGGGCUUAACCCCGGGUCUGCAUUCGAUACGGGCAGACUAGAGUGUGGUAGGGGAGAUCGGAAUUCCUGGUGUAGCGGUGAAAUGCGCAGAUAUCAGGAGGAACACCGGUGGCGAAGGCGGAUCUCUGGGCCAUUACUGACGCUGAGGAGCGAAAGCGUGGGGAGCGAACAGGAUUAGAUACCCUGGUAGUCCACGCCGUAAACGGUGGGAACUAGGUGUUGGCGACAUUCCACGUCGUCGGUGCCGCAGCUAACGCAUUAAGUUCCCCGCCUGGGGAGUACGGCCGCAAGGCUAAAACUCAAAGGAAUUGACGGGGGCCCGCACAAGCAGCGGAGCAUGUGGCUUAAUUCGACGCAACGCGAAGAACCUUACCAAGGCUUGACAUACACCGGAAACGGCCAGAGAUGGUCGCCCCCUUGUGGUCGGUGUACAGGUGGUGCAUGGCUGUCGUCAGCUCGUGUCGUGAGAUGUUGGGUUAAGUCCCGCAACGAGCGCAACCCUUGUUCUGUGUUGCCAGCAUGCCCUUCGGGGUGAUGGGGACUCACAGGAGACUGCCGGGGUCAACUCGGAGGAAGGUGGGGACGACGUCAAGUCAUCAUGCCCCUUAUGUCUUGGGCUGCACACGUGCUACAAUGGCCGGUACAAAGAGCUGCGAAACCGUGAGGUGGAGCGAAUCUCAAAAAGCCGGUCUCAGUUCGGAUUGGGGUCUGCAACUCGACCCCAUGAAGUCGGAGUUGCUAGUAAUCGCAGAUCAGCAUUGCUGCGGUGAAUACGUUCCCGGGCCUUGUACACACCGCCCGUCACGUCACGAAAGUCGGUAACACCCGAAGCCGGUGGCCCAACCCCUUGUGGGAGGGAGCUGUCG
rnacentral:rRNA from 1 species